rnacentral:sRNA from 1 species
GCGAUUGCAAAAAGUUAAUUUAAAGCUAAGUUUGAUCUGGAAUAUACACACACAUAUACAUAAAAAAGCUUAAACAUGCUUUCUAAGCAUAUACCUGCACACAUUCGCACCAAUAUUUCAUGUAUUUAGUGGCCCAACUAAAUAUUACUUACAUUCUCGAUUAACUUGAAACGACGACGAACACUACCAACGACCGAAUGAAAGCGACGGCACUGUAUCUGUGCUGCUAUGAUGUGAUUCUGUCAUAGUGUGCGGAGAGGCACACAUACACAGGCGGCGCAUGCCCGCCACAAGUGAGCGUAUUGCAGCGUUGCCAACCUGACGGUGGCAGUAAUGCUGCCAGGUGUGCUCUGCUUUGCGUCAGCCGAUGUUAAUAUUUAAACUUUAAGCAUACCAGCCCAGCUUAACUGGGUGUGUAUGGGCAUGGAACACAAUAAAAUAAAUAUAUAAAUUAAAAAGUUGAUGCCAUGACGCAUUAACAUCGUCCAUCACUGGCGGCGUCAAUUGUGCGCAAUUUAA